GGGGAAUAUAAGUAAAAAAAGAAAUUAAAAUGCACAUAAGUAGCCAUGUAUUUAAAUACAUGGUUUAUUUAUUUAAAAAAUAUAAAGAAAUUAAUAUAUAUUUGCCUAUAUCUGCACACACUGACCCACAGACACACACAGUGCACCCUUCACACACAUGCUGCACCACACACACCGCAGCACAGACACACACAGUGCACCCUUCACACACAUGCUGCACCACACACACACCACAGCACAGACACACACAUUGCACCACACACACACACCACACCACAGACACACACAGUGCACCACAGACACACACAGUGCACCAUUCACACACACACUACAC